rnacentral:rRNA from 1 species
UACGUAGGGGGCAAGCGUUGUCCGGAUUCAUUGGGCGUAAAGAGCGUGUAGGCGGCCAGGUAGGUCGGUUGUGAAAACUGGAGGCUCAACCUUCAGAGGUCGACCGAAACCAUCUGGCUAGAGUCCGGAAGAGGCGAGUGGAAUUCCUGGUGUAGCGGUGGAAUGCGCAGAUAUCAGGAGGAACACCGGUGGCGAAGGCGGGUCUCUGGGCCGAUACUGACGCUGAGGAGCGAAAGCGUGGGGAGCGAACAGG